GUUCUGCAGACUACUAACAUGAUCUAAUUUUGAGUUUGCUUUGGAAAAGAAGUGUGUUUUUCUUUUUAAACCCUUUUGGAUGUGACAGUACCAAUUUUUACCCUUGACUUCUGCAACAACCCUCCCUUCCUUCCCUGCUCUCAGAAUACCCCUCCUGCACAGCAUCCUCUGCUCCUCCAUCCUGCAGGAGCUGUGUACACUUGGAUAGAGGAUCAAUCACCAUAAUAGCUGUUGUCUUCAAGGUUUAUUAAUGCUUUCCAACUGAAUUCCUGUUUUCCUGCUAAUAACCCUUCCCGUGGAACACUUUUGUGGAUACACAAUUAUUCAUGUGGCAAACUUGCCACUCGAAUGCUGGUAGGUAGUUAGUAAGCUUUGCAUCCAACCAGAAGCAAGUCAUUUUUAAUUUCUGCAAUAGGCUUGAAGCUGGGAUUAUUGCAUUGCAGGAUUUUUACUUAAAGCAACACUUUGGAAGGAGGAACAGCUGCUGUCUGUUGAGGGAAUGAGGGGGCACAGGUGCUCCCCAUAGAGAUUCAUUUGGUCCCACAGUCCAUAUUAGUAGGCUGGUAUCUCCAGUUAUGUUUGCAGAGCUGUAACUGGAAGUGCUGAAGGUCUAAAAUGAAGAGAGUGAAGAGAGGAAGCCAGCGCCUCUCUCAAAGGCUGCAUUGCUGUGGCCAACAUAUCCUUCUUCUAGACAACUGAAUAUGGAAAAGAAUACAAAAGCAGAGCCUGUCAGUCACCCCUGGGUGGCUGUCAGCAUCUGGAAGGAUGGGUGCAGAAGUCAAGAGCAGCCGUCUUCAUCCAGUCACCUGUGUGCCUGAGUCAGAGAAGCUGCUGCUACCUGAGAAAUGAACAAACAGCGCCUUCAAAAAGUCUGGGAAGAAACAAAGACAUUUGAACCAUUUGCACAACACAGAAGCUCUCCAGCACGAGUCCUUAAAGGGCUGGAGGUUUGCUGGGGAAGCUUUGAGGAGGAGAGUCAUAAAGAAUAG
ensembl:lncRNA